rnacentral:rRNA from 1 species
UCUAGUGGCGCACGGGUGCGUAACGCGUGGGAAUCUGCCUUGGGGUUCGGAAUAACUCCCCGAAAGGGGUGCUAAUACCGGAUGAUGUCGAAAGACCAAAGAUUUAUCGCCCUGAGAUGAGCCCGCGUAGGAUUAGCUAGUUGGUGUGGUAAAGGCGCACCAAGGCGACGAUCCUUAGCUGGUCUGAGAGGAUGAUCAGCCACACUGGGACUGAGACACGGCCCAGACUCCUACGGGAGGCAGCAGUGGGGAAUAUUGGACAAUGGGCGAAAGCCUGAUCCAGCAAUGCCGCGUGAGUGAUGAAGGCCUUAGGGUUGUAAAGCUCUUUUACCCGGGAAGAUAAUGACUGUACCGGGAGAAUAAGCCCCGGCUAACUCCGUGCCAGCAGCCGCGGUAAUACGGAGGGGGCUAGCGUUGUUCGGAAUUACUGGGCGUAAAGCGCACGUAGGCGG